rnacentral:rRNA from 1 species
CCUACGGGUGGCAGCAGUGAGGAAUAUUGGUCAAUGGGCGCGAGCCUGAACCAGCCAAGUCGCGUGAGGGAUGAAGGUUCUAUGGAUCGUAAACCUCUUUUAUACGGGAAUAAAGUGUGGGACGUGUCCUAUUUUGUAUGUACCUUAUGAAUAAGGAUCGGCUAACUCCGUGCCAGCAGCCGCGGUAAUACGGAGGAUCCGAGCGUUAUCCGGAUUUAUUGGGUUUAAAGGGUGCGUAGGCGGCCUUUUAAGUCAGCGGUGAAAGUCUGUGGCUCAACCAUAGAAUUGCCGUUGAAACUGGUGGGCUAGAGUAUAGUUGAGGCAGGCGGAAUGCGUGGUGUAGCGGUGAAAUGCUUAGAGAUCACGCAGAACCCCGAUUGCGAAGGCAGCAUACCGGCGGCGAUCUGACGCUGAGGCACGAAAGCGUGGGUAUCGAACAGGAUUAGAUACCCUUGUAGUC